AGUCUAUAGACACAUUGUGUUUUUUUUUUACAAAGUGACUUCGCCAACUACUACGACUAAUAUAGCGUUUUAGUCAUUUUCAUGUAUAAAUUACAUUUUAAAAUAUAUUAAAAUAAAAAACUGUUAUUUCAAAUUGUAAUAUUUCACAUUACAGUUUUUUACUGUAUUUUUGAUCAAAUAAAUGCAGCCUUGAUGAGAAUAAAAGACUUCUUUCAAAAACAUUAAAAAUAUAUUUCAAAAAUUAUUUUAAACUAUUCUGUCUGUCAAUCACUCUAUGCCUUGAUAAACUUUGCUUUUCUAUCUAAAAUUGCAAUUUUACAUCCUGUUUGCUACCUUGAUUAAAAUUCAGUUCAAUUUCAUUAACUGAAUUAGAAUUAAAAAGGCAUUAUUAAUUAAAUUCUGAAUGGCACGCAGCCCAGAAUGGCAGCAAGUCCCCUAAGCAUAUUCUAUUGAAAAGCCUUUCUAUAAAGUUGUGAUAGCAGAUAAAGGAGGAGCAAUUCAAUAUCAAUGUCUGUAGCUUUUAAAUGAAACAUAUGGGUGUAGUCUUUCAUGUCCACAUUUGGCCAUACAUGUAUAAUGUCUAUUUCUGUGAUUGAAAUACUUGCUGACUCAACACUGCCCUCUUGAGGCUGAGAAAGGGAGCAAUGGGCUCUGCAGUAGACUCACACUGUCACACUUUGGUUUCUGUUUAGGAAAGACAUGCAAUUGUUCUUCAGUUGUGUCAGCUUCAUGAGCACAUCUCUUCUUCUCCUCGGAACCUCCUCUGUUCUGUAUGCUGGAGUUCGAAUCUCGCUCUUCAGUUUCUGUUGCUGGAUCUUCAUUCGUAGACUGUGUAAGGAUUUGGAUGUAGGUAAUUUCUUCUUCAAAAGCUCUGCACAAGAUGGUGAGUCUAAUUUUGGAGAAAGGGUGUCAUCUUGUGGAAACUUUUGGAAACGACUCAUAGUCUGCGAAAGUUGAGGUGUCCUUGAUGCGUUGUUUUCUGAUUUGUUUGAUAAAUGCUCUUUGCAAAAUCCUUUUUGCACAGAUUUAUUCCCAUUAACUUUAUCCAAAGAGUCCAGGAGGAAAGUACGUCCUGAAUUUGGCACAGCGGAUGAGUCACACUCUGACCUGAAAAUUAGAUUUAAACAUUUCAUUAAAAAAAAAAAAAAAAAAAAAAA